rnacentral:rRNA from 1 species
GAUGAACGCUGACAGAAUGCUUAACACAUGCAAGUCAUUGGCGAAGCUGCGCUUGCGCAGUCUAGCCAAGGCGGACGGGUGAGUAACGCGUAAGGAACUUGCCCUGCAGACAGGGAUAACAGACGGAAACGACUGAUAACACCGGGUAUUGUCAGGCUGGCGCAUGCCGGCCUGUUGAAAGCAGACGCUGCAGGAGAGCCUUGCGUCCUAUUAGCUAGUUGGUGGGGUAACGGCCCACCAAGGCGAUGAUCGGUAGCCGGCCUGAGAGGGUGAACGGCCACGAGGGGACUGAGAUACGGCCGUUACGCCUACGGGAGGCAGCAGUAGGGAAUAUUGGAGAAUGGGGGCAACCGUGAUGAAGCAAUUCUGUGUGCACGAAGAAGGUUGUCGGAUUGUAAAGUACUUUCAGAAGGGAAGAAGAAAGUGACGGUACCUGCAGAAGAAGCGACGGCUAAAUACGUG